rnacentral:rRNA from 1 species
UACGUAGGGUGCAAGCGUUGUCCGGAAUUAUUGGGCGUAAAGAGCUCGUAGGCGGUUUGUCGCGUCUGCUGUGAAAACUCGGGGCUUAACCCCGAGCCUGCUUCUGAUACGGGCAGACUAGAGGUAUGCAGGGGAGAACGGAAUUCCUGGUGUAGCGGUGAAAUGCGCAGAUAUCAGGAGGAACACCGGUGGCGAAGGCGGUUCUCUGGGCAUUACCUGACGCUGAGGAGCGAAAGCGUGGGGAGCAAACAGG